rnacentral:rRNA from 1 species
CCUACGGGAGGCAGCAGUGGGGAAUCUUGCACAAUGGAGGAAACUCUGAUGCAGCGAUGCCGCGUGAGUGAAGAAGGCCUUUGGGUUGUAAAGCUCUUUUGUAGGGGAAGAUAAUGACUGUACCCUAAGAAUAAGGUCCGGCUAACUUCGUGCCAGCAGCCGCGGUAAUACGAAGGGACCUAGCGUAGUUCGGAAUUACUGGGCGUAAAGCGCGCGUAGGCCGUUGAGUUAGUUAAUUGUGAAAUCCCAAAGCUUAACUUUGGAACUGCAAUUAAAACUGCUCGACUAGAGUUUGAUAGAGGAAAGCGGAAUACAUAGUGUAGAGGUGAAAUUCGUAGAUAUUAUGUAGAACACCAGUUGCGAAGGCGGCUUUCUGGAUCAACACUGACGCUGAGGCGCGAAAGUAUGGGUAGCAAAGAGGAUUAGAUACCCUCGUAGUCCAUACCAUAAACGAUGAUUGCUAGAUGUUGGAAAUUUAUUUUCAGUAUCGCAGCUAACGCAUUAAGCAAUCCGCCUGGGGAGUACGACCGCAAGGUUAAAACUCAAAUGAAUUGACGGCUGGAGACGNGCGACGACGACGACGAGGAGUAGG